rnacentral:lncRNA from 10 species
AGAUGCUUAACACUGUGAGAAGCAGCACCAAAUUCUAGAACCAGAGGCAUGAUUUAAAGCACAGGAUUCAUUGAACCAAGAAAAGAAGGAAGAGAACUUUCUUUCCGGAACACUUCUUUCAUAUCCUGUAGUCCGGAUUCAAGCAAAAUUCUUUUUUUCACUCUGAAAUGUGUUCAGGAGAAUCUGAGCUAGGAAUGGUUUUUCAGUCUCAUACAUGCAGCUCAGAGUUGGAGUGAAGACAGGAUGAUUUUAGACACUGCAAUGAGAAGCAAGAGCUCAUUUGAUUUCAGUAAGGUCCCAGCUGACUUCACGGUAAAUAUCAAGAGUCUGACUCAAAUGACAAGACCAGACUUUGCCCUUCCUCCUCUCAGCCUACUCAACGUGAAUAUAAUGAGGAUGAAGACCUUUGUAAUGACCUUUUCCCACAUAAUGAAUAGCCAUUGGGAGACACACUUCUGAACACCACCACUGGAAAAUCACACAUGCUGAAAUGGGAGAGUUCCCUGACCCCCUUGCAGGAUAUGUGACAGGAGUGUGGCUCAUCUGUUCAGCUGGAGUGCAUACUCAAACCCCUUAUGAGACAAGGAGUAUGCAGACAGAAGGUGCAGGAACUGGGAAGCAAAAUAUAAACUAGUUAAUUUGAUCUCCAAGAGUUAAGCGGUUUUAAUAUUACUGACAGUAAUAUCAGCAGUGGUGUUGGAACCCCAUGAUCUCAUGAAUCAUAGAUAGCAACUGCUUACUGGACAUUGAAGCUUUAUGGCCAGCUGCCAAAAAAAUAAAUGCACCUUAAUUUUUAAAUUGAAUUAUAAAGCCAAAAAUAUCCUAUUGCUCUAUUCCUCUUAUUUUGGUGUUUACAUGUGACUUUAUAAUUUCCUUCACUUGAAAGAUUUUAACUUUAAAGGAAACUUUACUCUGAACGUUUAGGACAAUUCAUAGAUAAUCAAAUUGAUUAUCAUGUUUUCAAUGUUAAAUAUUACUUCAUAUGUCUUUUUACAACCUUCAGAAUAAGAAAGCCAGCUAUGAAAUACCAAGUCUUGACUAGUAGUGCCACCUAGCAUCACAAAGAAAAAGUUGUUCAACUACUUUGCAAAGCAUUGGAAAUUUAUCAAAUCAUCUAAUAUACUAUCUCCUUGAUCCUUAAUCCAGAGGAAAAUAAGCAGACAUGAUCAAUUAGAAGAAAUGUACACAAAACCUAUGUAAUUUUAGAGAUAGUAUACUACAUAUUAUGAAUGUUUGUGUUUUAGUAAGAUGUAGUUAUGAGAUGUAGCAGUAAGAUAUAAUUUCUGGUUUGCUGACUGAUAUGCUACCGGUUUUUCCUACAAUUUAAGAAAACAUAUUGGGAUUCAAAUGAAUAAAAAUAAUGUUUGUGUACUGAAAUAUUGGCUAUGACCUAAUUUAUAGAAUAAAAAGUAAGUCAUUCACAACUAUCAGUAUUUUGAAUAAUGUGGCAACCAACAACUGAUUGAGAUUUGUUAGUGUUUUGAGUAAUGAAUUUAGAAACUUUGGAAUAUAAUAUAAUGCUAACAAAGAUAUCACAGGCUCAAUCCUGGAUGGAACUGAGGACAGCUAUUCCAACCAUCUCAGUUAAGAUGCUUCUUAUUGGCGAUAAGUGAAUAAUAAGAGAGUAGAUGGCUCAUACCAGACCUAUUUCUCUCACAAUUCAAAUAGACUUAGCUGUGAGAUAGGGCAAGUCCUCAAAUAACACCAUUUCAUUCAAAGUCAUUUUAUGAUCACUUUGAUGAGAAGAAAAUCACUAAUUCUUGGUCAUGGCCACUGUCUGUGUGGAGUCUACAUGUUCUCUGCAUGUGUACAUGGGUUUUCUCUGGGUAGUUUGGUUUCCUUCCACAUCCCAAGGAAGUUCACAUGAGGUUCACUGGUGUGUCUAAAUGGUUCCAAUGUGAGUGAGUGUUGGGGUGUGUGUGGGUGCCCCCUGCAGUGAGAUAG